AUCAUAUCAGUUAUACAGAAGUACUACUUUGGGACACAGUCUUCAGGAGAGCCUAGAUGAGCUCAUAAAAUCUCAGCAGUUCACUCAACUUGCCCUUCAAGUUUUACUUCAGUUUGAUAAGGCUAUAAAGUCAUCAUUGGCUCAGAGGAUUAGGAACAGAGUUGAUUUCAGGGGCUCUCUAAAUACAUACAGAUUGUGCCAUAUGCCACGCAUGGUGGCUCAUGCCCGUCAUCCCAGCACUUUGGGAGGUGAAGGCAGGAGGAUUGCUUGACGCGAGGAGUUCAAGACCAGCCUUAACAACAUAGGAAGACACUGUCUCUACAAAAAAAAAAAAAAAAAAUUAAUUGAGAAAAACAAAAAGAUUCUGUGAUAAUAUGUAGACUUUUGUGAAAAUUAUGGCCUGUGAUGAUAAAAAUACUGGCUCUAAUACUAUAGAA
rnacentral:lncRNA from 1 species